rnacentral:rRNA from 1 species
UAAUACGUAGGGGGCUAGCGUUAUCCGGAAUUACUGGGCGUAAAGGGUGCGUAGGUGGUUUCUUAAGUCAGAGGUGAAAGGCUACGGCUCAACCGUAGUAAGCCUUUGAAACUGGGAAACUUGAGUGCAGGAGAGGAGAGUGGAAUUCCUAGUGUAGCGGUGAAAUGCGUAGAUAUUAGGAGGAACACCAGUUGCGAAGGCGGCUCUCUGGACUGUAACUGACACUGAGGCACGAAAGCGUGGGGAGCAAACAGGAUUAGAUACCCUGGUAGUCCACGCCGUAAACGAUGAGUACUAGCUGUCGGAGGUUACCCCCUUCGGUGGCGCAGCUAACGCAUUAAGUACUCCGCCUGGGAAGUACGCUCGCAAGAGUG